AGCUCUGCAGCAGCCAAGCACUUGGUGUGAGCAAUCACACACAUCAGACGCACUGUAGAUGCCACAUUGUUUUGUAUGGACUUCACCCUCUCAGGCUAUUGCUUGUGGGUUAAUGCCCUAAUGGUUCCAUCCAGUCCAUAACCAAUGUGUCACAGCACAAUGGCACAGAAACAGCACAAUACCGGAUUUUCACUAUGAGGGAAUGGAGCUGGAAAACUGAAAACAUCUGAGUAGGAGAGAAAACAGCUCUCCAUGAGCUGAGAGGGAAGAAGGCGAGCGCACAGUUAAAGCACUCUGACAGCACUCCACGAGUCACAGAAACAAGAGACAUCCGGCAGAUAGAAUGCAAUGAAAGAGCAGAGAGAGUUAAUAGAAAAUAAGUAAGAAGUAUUGUUCUUGCAACUGCCUUUUAUAACAUUUUUGACUGUAAUGUAGCUUAACCUCUUCAUGAGACUUAUGAACAAAAAUUAUGAAACCACAUUUCAUUGCUGGACAACAGAACAACUUUUUCGGUUCAAUACUUUUGCCUUUGUGUGUCAGAAUACUUAAAGGAGUCAUAUUAUGCCCUUUUUCAGGUUCAUAAUUGUAUUUUGUGGCUCUCCUACAAUAGGUUUAGAUGUUUUAAUGUUCAAAAAACACAUUAUUUUUCUCAUACUGCCUAUAGCUGAGCACCUCUUUUCAGCCUCUGUCUGAAUCGCUAGGUUUUAGCUCCUGUCUCUUUAAGACCCCCCUCCCAAAAAGCCCAGUCUGCUCUGAUUGGUCGGCAUUAUGACGCGGAUGACGCUCCGGCCCCUCCCACUUCCACCUCAGCCUUGUUUAGCUGCAUUUCUACCGUCAAUAUUAAUUCAAUUACUGCUUCUAAACCCAAAACUUCACCAGCAGACAUGUUAGAGCGGGAGUCUGACCUGAAAUCACAGAGAAAUGAACAACAACAACAAUCAGGAUUACAGCUUUCUGUGACGUUUUCCUCAGGUACAACAGUGAGCAGUGACCUACAGUCUACACAGCCCAGUGAAGUUAAACAUAUUAUAUGCCUGCAAUACUUUAUCCUGUACAACAUGUCAACAUAACUGAAGGAAUUACUCAUCUAAUAAAGUGACUUGUUCAUGUGGUUUAAAAACUGCUAAGUAACCAACUGUUAACUGUACUGUGUCCAUAUUUCAUAGUCUGAUAUUUUAACUUGAAAGUAUUAUUACCAAAGUUCACCUUCAGAUAUUUGUAAAAGCUGCAAUUAUGUUUGAACCCCAUUAAAAAUACUGUAUACUGAA